ensembl:lncRNA
CCGCGUCAACCAAUCAGGAGCCUGGUGACGUCGCUGUAACCAGGUCAAAGGGGCAGAUCAAACCAAAGCCCUUCAUUCUUCGUUCACUAUGGAGGAAAAACUAAUCAGCGCAGUGGCUAAUCACCCAGAAUUGUACGAUGCUAGCUGCUACUUCUACCGGGACAGGAACAAAAAGGAACUAGCUUGGAGGCACAUAAGUGAGGAGAUCGGGCAACCUGGUAAGUUCGUUUGUUCUUAUUUUUAAUUUUCAGACUGACCCGAUGAAGCCGCGCAAAAGCUAGCAAGCAUGCCUACUGUCCCGCUAUUUUCCCACUGAUGUACAAAUACCUUUCCGCUAACAAGAUAAUGUGUUUAUUCAGAGGACAUCUGCAGGAAAAAGUGGAAGAGCCUCAGGGACACCUAUAAUAAGGAGAAGAGGACGGAGAAGGAGAAGAGGAGUGGGUCUGCAGCAGGAUCGGGGAGGAGAUGGAAGUUCUUCGCGGUCAUGGGGUUUCUGGACCCCUUCCUCACCCCGCGGGAGACAAGCGGCAAUAUGGUCCAGGCCGUGGAGAACUUCGCCCCCGAGGACCAGGGACAGCCCGGAGAGGCAGCAGGGGAGUUUCAGUCUGAAGAGUCAUCUGAUUAUGCAGCAGAGCCAUCCCCUGCUGCUUCUUCUGGCUCCCCAGUCCCUGGUCCCUCCACUCCUGCUGCUGCACCCACAGGCCCACAGAGGAGGAAAGCUCAAAAGCGGCAGAGGGACGGGUCACAGGAUGGUCCAUCGGCGGUGGAGCUGGCCAUCCUGGAGUCGCUGAAGAGGCCACGCCCGUCUCCAACGGAGUAUUUCCUCCUCAGCCUUGCUCCUGCUCUGGAGAGCCUGCCGCCUCAGACACGAGAAUUCGUGAAAUUUCAAAUGCAUAAAUUAGUUUUUGAAAGCAGCACAGCUGUGUUAAAUUUGGAAACAUUGGACCCUAGCGAUCAGUAGUUUACUGAUGAGGCAGCAGGCUCUCCAGGGCAGAAACAAUGUUCUUAUUUUUCUCCUCAUUCUCCCUGAGGCUCUUCCACUCCAAGCUGGGUCCUUUUUGUUCCUGUCUCUCUGUAAAUAGUUAAAUGUUAUAUAUUUAUGUUUAAUGUUGUUAUUGAAUUUAUAUAUUUUUUCAAAUAAACAUUUUUAAUAACUAAUGUCUCAGUUUUACUACACAGCAAAUAUUCGCACCCGACUUGACACAUGUAGAAUGUAUUUCUUAUUAUACUAAUGACAAAAUAUACUAAUACAGUGGGAUGCAAACGUUUGGGCAACCUUGGUAAAAGUCAUUAUUUUCCGCUAUAAAUCGUUGGUUGUUACAAUAAAAGUUGUCAGUUAAUUAGAUCAUAUGGAAGACACGCACAGUGAUAUUUGAGAAGUGAAAUUAAGUUCACUGGAUUUACAUAAAGUGUGGAAUAACUGUUUAAACAAAAUCAAGCAGGUGCAUAAAUUGGCAACUUAAAAAAGACAAAUGAAAUGAAAAUUUAGUGUAUAUCAAUGUGUGUCUCUAAUAUAUGAUAUAUGCAAGUGACAUUUUCAAUUGUAACAGCAAUUCAUACAGGAAAAUAAUGACUAUUAAUAAGGUUGCCCAAAAUUUUGCAUCACACAGUAUAUAGGAACAUAGUGAAGACAAGUUAUUUAAGAGAGUAAAGAGAGGUUAUUUUAUUUUGGAGUAGAGCUCCAUUUAUUAAGAAAAUGUUAAAAAGGCAGGAACACUCUUUACAGGUUUGUGGGUGGCUCUUAAAAGAGCCGUUGUGGGGAAGUCACUCGGACUUCAAACAGGCUACUCCUUUGGCUGCCAAGUCACAGCUCCCUCCGCCGAGAAGUGGGCCAUGAAUUUCUCCCUCACCAGGACAGCUUCUCUGGAGGAGUUGUUUGCCACACGGCCCAGGCUAUGCAACGGCUCCACCACAGCAGGUGCCACACUCCUCACAGCAGGUGCCCCUCUCUCGUCCAAACAGCGUAGAAAAUUGUGGAGAACACACGUUGCCUUCACACACUUCUCCGCAAUUUCAGGACGGAGCUCCAUGGGGCGCCGAUACAUCCUCCACUGUGAGGAGAGGACACCAAAGGCACCCUCCACUAUCAUCCUGGCCCUGGAAAGGCGAUAGUUAAAGAUCCUUCUCUCUAAAGGGAGGAGGCGUCCAGGAAAAGGCCUCAUCAGCUCACGCCGCAGCGGGAACGCUUCAUCAGCCACAAACACAUGGGGCUGGGCUCCACGGUGUUCUCCACCAGGUAGAGGCUGGUCAGGAGGCAGAUGGAGAGUCCCAGCCCGAAGAGCCUGACCAAAGGUGGAGUUGGCCAGAAUACCCCCGUCGCUGGUCCUCCCGUACCCCCCAACAUCAAUAACUCGGAAGCGAUACCUUGCAUCCACAACCGCAAGGAGAACAAUGGAGAAUGUUCCUUGUAGUUGUAGAACAUGGAUCCUGAGUUGGGGGGUGCCUUCGUCUGAACGUGCUUCCCAUCCAGAGCUCCGCAGCAGAGAGGGAAGUGCCAGCGCUCCUGGAAUUCCUCUGCAAUGGACUGCCAGUCUCCCAGUGAAGGCACAGCCAUGAAAUCAUCCACUAGACAGUCCCAGAUGGCUGUCGCUACCUGGGGAUGAUCUGGCUCACGGUAG